GACGUAGGAUGCAAGCGUUGUCCGGAUUUAUUGGGCGUAAAGAGUUCGUAGGCGGUUCGUUAAGUCUGAUGUUAAAUAUCAGGGCUCAACCCUGAGAGUGCAUUGGAUACUGGCGGACUGGAGUGUGGUAGAGGCUAGUGGAAUUCCCAGUGUAGCGGUGAAAUGCGUAGAUAUUGGGAAGAACACCGGUGGCGUAGGCGACUAGCUGGGCCAUAACUGACGCUGAGGAACGAAAGCCAGGGGAGCGAAUGGG
rnacentral:rRNA from 1 species